rnacentral:lncRNA from 1 species
UGUCAACAAAGAAGAACAAAUAGGCAAAUAGACAAAAUAUAAAGCAAUAAAGAAAAAAAAUUAUUAUAGCAGAAUAACAAUGACGGGAUGUAUAAGUACCGAGCCACGUCAAAUGGAGAUAACAAAAAAUAGACUCAACAGUAAAAUUAAUACGGUAACAAUACAAAGACAAUUAAAAGAAUACUAUAACACGUAAUUAAGGGGAUGAUACACAACGUCAGUACCUUGAAUCUUAACUUCAAAACA